GACGUGAGUGGCAAGCGUUAUCCGGAAUUACUGGGCGUAAAGGGCGCGUAGGUGGCUAUGUAAGUCAUAGGUAAAAACACUGAGCUUAACUUGGUAGAGGCUUAUGAAACUGCAUAACUUGGAGUAUAGGAGAGGAAGAUGGAAUUAUUACUGUAGCGGUGGAAUGCGUAGACAGUAAUAGGAAGGCCAAUGACGAAGGUAGUCUUCUGGACUGAUACUGACACUGAGGCGCGAAAGCUAGGGGAGCAAACAGG
rnacentral:rRNA from 1 species